rnacentral:rRNA from 1 species
GACAUAGGUGGCAAACGUUAUCCGGAAUUAUUGGGCGUAAAGGGUGUGUAGGCGGUUGUUUAAGUUUGGUGUGAAAUCUCCCGGCUCAACCGGGAGGGUGCGCCGAAUACUGAGUGACUAGAGUGCGGGAGAGGAAAGUGGAAUUCCUGGUGUAGCGGUGAAAUGCGUAGAUAUCAGGAGGAACACCGGUGGUGUAGACGGCUUUCUGGACCGUAACUGACGCUGAGACACGAAAGCGUGGGUAGCAAACGGG